UACGUAGGGGGCAAGCGUUGUCCGGAUUUAUUGGGCGUAAAGAGCGUGUAGGCGGCCAGAUAGGUCCGUUGUGAAAACUCGAGGCUCAACCUCGAGACGCCGAUGGAAACCAUCUGGCUAGAGUCCGGAAGAGGAGAGUGGAAUUCCUGGUGUAGCGGUGAAAUGCGCAGAUAUCAGGAGGAACACCCGUGGCGAAAGCGGCUCUCUGGGACGGUACUGACGCUGAGACGCGAAAGCGUGGGGAGCAAACAGG
rnacentral:rRNA from 1 species